UUAAAGCCCCCAAUAAAUUCUAAUGUGAAGUUAAAUUUGUGAAUUUGUGGCCCAAGGGAAGUCAAUGUUUUCAGGAAAGAAUUAGAUCAAAGAACCUGAAAUGAAUUUAGAGCUCUAUUUCUGGCUUCUGUGUGCUGGGUUCAGUCUAGAAUUAUCAUAUAAUCAGCAAAUUAGGCACAAGGGAGAAAAAUAGAGGCCCUCUUUUGCCUGUAGUCAGUCAGUGCGAGCAUAUCUGAUCCAAAACACUUGGAAACACACAGUUUCAUCUAGUGGCCAGUGGGGACUCUCCAACAGAACCUGCAAAACAGGAAGACUUUGGGAUCUGGCUUUUUGAAACACUGAGGUUACAAGGAAGAAAAGGAUUGCAAGUUGUUUGAUUGACACAGAAGAAUUACAAGUGUGAGAGAAUGAGGAGGCAGAGGGCCAAAGGGAAGUAUGUUUCUGCAGCCGCCACAUUACUGCUGCAUUUCAGGAAUGGCAUUUCAGUGGGGAAGUAGUCAUGUAUGGAUGUGAGAAUUGGACCAAAAAGAAAGCUGAGUGCCAGAGAAUUGAUGGCUUUUGAACUGUGGUGUUGGAGAAGACUCUUGAGAGUCCCUUGGACAGCAAGGAGAUCAAACCUAAAGGAAGUCCAUCCUAAAGGAAGCCAGUCCUGAAUAUUCAUUGGAAGGACUGAUGGUGAAGCUGAAGCUCCAAUACUUUGGCCACCUGAUGCGAAGAACUGACUCAUUAGAAAGACCCUGAUGCUGGGAAAGAUUGAAGGUGGGAGGAGAAGGGGAUGACAGAGGAUGAGAUGGUUGGAUGACAUUACCAACUUGAUGGACAUGAGUUUGAGCAAGCUCUGGGAAUUGGUGAUGAACAGGGAAGCCUGGUAUGCUGCAGUCCACGGGGUUGCAAAGAGUCAGACACGACUGAAUGACUGAACUGAACACCUCUUUCACAGAGAUUCACAGCAACCACUGGCAUUUUCCCCCUCAGCUUUAUAGAGGUACAAUUAACAAUUACAAAUUGUACAUAUUUAAGUUUAAAAUGUGGUAUUUUCAUUUAUGUGUAUAUUGUGAAAUGAUUUCCACACUCAAGCUAAUUGACAUAUCCAUCACUUUGCAUCAUCAUCUCUUUCUAUGUGAUGAAGAUCCAAGAUUUCAAGUGUAUAAUAUGGUAAUAUUAACUAUAGUCACCAUGCUAUAUAUUAAUUCUCCACAGCUUACUCAUCCUGAAUAACUGAAGCUUUGUACCUUUGAACAAGAUCUCCACAUUUUCCCCACCCCAACACCUGGCAACCACCAUUCUGCUUCUUGCUUUAGUAAGUUAAAAUUCUAAGGUAGUGGGGUGAAAGGACAUGCGCACAUCUUUUUUUGAGAGAGCACCAAAAUCGCAACUAGCUGCUGAACAAUCAUUGACAGGAGAAUGCUGGAACCCACCAAAAAAAGAUACCCCACAUCCAAAGACAAAGAAGAAGCCACAGUGAGACAGUGGGAGGGGUGAAAUCACAAUAAAAUCAAAUCCAAUACCUGCCAGGUAGGUGACC
ensembl:lncRNA